UUCCGGUUGAUCCCGCCGGACCCUACUGCUAUCGGGGCGGGACUAAGACAUGCAAGUCGUGCGUCUCUAAGCCAUGGUAGAGACGCGGCGUACGGCUCAGUAACACGUGGCUAACCUACCCUUAGGACGGAGACAACCCCGGGAAACUGGGGCUAAUACCUGAUAGGUGAGGAGGCCUGGAAUGGUUCUUCGCUGAAAAGGCGUUGAAACCAUGCUUUUCAACGUCGCCUAAGGAUGGGGCCGCGCCCGAUCAGGUUGUUGGUGGGGUAACGGCUCACCAAGCCUAUAACCGGUACGGGCCGUGAGAGCGGGAGCCCGGAGAUGGGCACUGAGAUAAGGGCCCAGGCCCUACGGGGCGCAGCAGUCGCGAAAACUCCGCAAUGCGCGAAAGCGUGACGGGGCUACCCCGAGUGCCGUCCGCUGAGGAUGGCUUUUCCUCGGUGUAAUGAGCCGGGGGAAUAAGGAGAGGGCAAGUCUGGUGUCAGCCGCCGCGGUAAUACCAGCUCUCCGAGUAGUAGGGACGAUUAUUGGGCUUAAAGCGUCCGUAGCCGGCUUAGCAAGUCUCCUGUUAAAUUCGGCGACCUAAUCGUUGAGCCGCGGGAGAUACUACUAGGCUAGGAGGCGGGAGAGGCCGACGGUAUUCCCGGGGUAGGGGUGAAAUCCUAUAAUCCCGGGAGGACCACCAGUGGCGAAGGCUGUCGGCUAGAACGCGCUCGACGGUGAGGGACGAAAGCUGGGGGAGCGAACCGGAUUAGAUACCCGGGUAGUCCCAGCUGUAAACGAUGCGGGCUAGUGUUGAGGUGCUACGAGCCACUUCAGUGCCGCAGGAAGCCAUUAAGCCCGUCGCCUGGGGAGUACGGCCGCAGGCUGAACUUAAAGGAAUUGUCGGGGGAACUACACAAGGCGUGAAGCUUGCUGUUCAAUUGGGAUUCACGCCGGA
rnacentral:rRNA from 1 species